rnacentral:rRNA from 1 species
AUUGAACGCUGGCGGCAUGCCUUACACAUGCAAGUCGAACGGUAACGGGCCUUCGGGUGCCGACGAGUGGCGCACGGGUGAGUAAUACAUCGGAACGUGCCCGAUCGUGGGGGAUAACGAGGCGAAAGCUUUGCUAAUACCGCAUACGAUCUACGGAUGAAAGCAGGGGACCGCAAGGCCUUGCGCGGACGGAGCGGCCGAUGGCAGAUUAGGUAGUUGGUGGGAUAAAAGCUUACCAAGCCGACGAUCUGUAGCUGGUCUGAGAGGAUGAUCAGCCACACUGGGACUGAGACACGGCCCAGACUCCUACGGGAGGCAGCAGUGGGGAAUUUUGGACAAUGGGCGCAAGCCUGAUCCAGCCAUGCCGCGUGCAGGAUGAAGGCCUUCGGGUUGCAAACUGCUUUUGUACGGAACGAAAAGCCUUCUUUUAAUACAGGAGGGUCAUGACGGUACCGUAAGAAUAAGCACCGGCUAACUACGUG